GUUGUGAGGUUAAGCGACUAAGCGUACACGGUGGAUGCCCUGGCAGUCAGAGGCGAUGAAGGACGUGCUAAUCUGCGAAAAGCGUCGGUAAGGUGAUAUGAACCGUUAUAACCGGCGAUGUCCGAAUGGGGAAACCCAGUGCAAUUCGUUGCACUAUCGUUAACUGAAUACAUAGGUUAACGAGGCGAACCGGGGGAACUGAAACAUCUAAGUACCCCGAGGAAAAGAAAUCAACCGAGAUUCCCCCAGUAGCGGCGAGCGAACGGGGAGCAGCCCAGAGUCUGAAUCAGCUUGUGUGUUAGUGGAACGGUCUGGAAAGUCCGACGGUACAGGGUGAUAGUCCCGUACACCAAAAUGCACAGGUUGUGAACUCGAAGAGUAGGGCGGGACACGUGGUAUCCUGUCUGAAUAUGGGGGGACCAUCCUCCAAGGCUAAAUACUCCUGACUGACCGAUAGUGAACCAGUACCGUGAGGGAAAGGCGAAAAGAACCCCGGCGAGGGGAGUGAAAAAGAACCUGAAACCGUGUACGUACAAGCAGUGGGAGCACCUUCGGGUGUGACUGCGUACCUUUUGUAUAAUGGGUCAGCGACUUAUAUUCUGUAGCAAGGUUAACCGUAUAGGGGAGCCGCAGGGAAACCGAGUCUUAACUGGGCGUUAAGUUGCAGGGUAUAGACCCGAAACCCGGUGAUCUAGCCAUGGGCAGGUUGAAGGUUGGGUAACACUAACUGGAGGACCGAACCGACUAAUGUUGAAAAAUUAGCGGAUGACUUGUGGCUGGGGGUGAAAGGCCAAUCAAACCGGGAGAUAGCUGGUUCUCCCCGAAAGCUAUUUAGGUAGCGCCUCGUGAACUCAUCUUCGGGGGUAGAGCACUGUUUCGGCUAGGGGGUCAUCCCGACUUACCAACCCGAUGCAAACUACGAAUACCGAAGAAUGUUAUCACGGGAGACACACGGCGGGUGCUAACGUCCGUCGUGAAGAGGGAAACAACCCAGACCGCCAGCUAAGGUCCCAAAGUCAUGGUUAAGUGGGAAACGAUGUGGGAAGGCACAGACAGCCAGGAUGUUGGCUUAGAAGCAGCCAUCAUUUAAAGAAAGCGUAAUAGCUCACUGGUCGAGUCGGCCUGCGCGGAAGAUGUAACGGGGCUAAACCAUGCACCGAAGCUGCGGCAGCGACACUAUGUGUUGUUGGGUAGGGGAGCGUUCUGUAAGCCUGCGAAGGUGUGCUGUGAGGCAUGCUGGAGGUAUCAGAAGUGCGAAUGCUGACAUAAGUAACGAUAAAGCGGGUGAAAAGCCCGCUCGCCGGAAGACCAAGGGUUCCUGUCCAACGUUAAUCGGGGCAGGGUGAGUCGACCCCUAAGGCGAGGCCGAAAGGCGUAGUCGAUGGGAAACAGGUUAAUAUUCCUGUACUUGGUGUUACUGCGAAGGGGGGACGGAGAAGGCUAUGUUAGCCGGGCGACGGUUGUCCCGGUUUAAGCAUGUAGGCUGGUUAUCCAGGCAAAUCCGGAUAAUCAAGGCUGAGGUGUGAUGACGAGGCACUACGGUGCUGAAGUAACAAAUGCCCUGCUUCCAGGAAAAGCCUCUAAGCAUCAGGUAACAUCAAAUCGUACCCCAAACCGACACAGGUGGUCAGGUAGAGAAUACCAAGGCGCUUGAGAGAACUCGGGUGAAGGAACUAGGCAAAAUGGUGCCGUAACUUCGGGAGAAGGCACGCUGGUGUGUAGGUGAAGUCCCUGCGGAUGGAGCUGAGACCAGUCGAAGAUACCAGCUGGCUGCAACUGUUUAUUAAAAACACAGCACUGUGCAAACACGAAAGUGGACGUAUACGGUGUGACGCCUGCCCGGUGCCGGAAGGUUAAUUGAUGGGGUUAUCCGUAAGGAGAAGCUCUUGAUCGAAGCCCCGGUAAACGGCGGCCGUAACUAUAACGGUCCUAAGGUAGCGAAAUUCCUUGUCGGGUAAGUUCCGACCUGCACGAAUGGCGUAAUGAUGGCCAGGCUGUCUCCACCCGAGACUCAGUGAAAUUGAACUCGCUGUGAAGAUGCAGUGUACCCGCGGCAAGACGGAAAGACCCCGUGAACCUUUACUAUAGCUUGACACUGAACAUUGAGCCUUGAUGUGUAGGAUAGGUGGGAGGCUUUGAAGCGUGGACGCCAGUCUGCGUGGAGCCAACCUUGAAAUACCACCCUUUAAUGUUUGAUGUUCUAACGUUGGCCCCUGACCGGGGUUGCGGACAGUGUCUGGUGGGUAGUUUGACUGGGGCGGUCUCCUCCCAAAGCGUAACGGAGGAGCACGAAGGUUAGCUAAUCCUGGUCGGACAUCAGGAGGUUAGUGCAAUGGCAUAAGCUAGCUUGACUGCGAGCGUGACGGCGCGAGCAGGUGCGAAAGCAGGUCAUAGUGAUCCGGUGGUUCUGAAUGGAAGGGCCAUCGCUCAACGGAUAAAAGGUACUCCGGGGAUAACAGGCUGAUACCGCCCAAGAGUUCAUAUCGACGGCGGUGUUUGGCACCUCGAUGUCGGCUCAUCACAUCCUGGGGCUGAAGUAGGUCCCAAGGGUAUGGCUGUUCGCCAUUUAAAGUGGUACGCGAGCUGGGUUUAGAACGUCGUGAGACAGUUCGGUCCCUAUCUGCCGUGGGCGCUGGAGAAUUGAGGGGGGCUGCUCCUAGUACGAGAGGACCGGAGUGGACGCAUCACUGGUGUUCGGGUUGUCAUGCCAAUGGCACUGCCCGGUAGCUAAAUGCGGAAGAGAUAAGUGCU
rnacentral:rRNA from 1 species